GAUCCUGGCUCAGGAUGAACGCUAGCGGCAGGCCUAACACAUGCAAGUCGAGGGGUAGUUACUUUCGGGUAAUGAGACCGGCGCACGGGUGCGUAACGCGUAUGCAAUCUACCUUUUACAGGGGAAUAGCCCAGAGAAAUUUGGAUUAAUGCCCCAUAGUAUGUAUGAAUCGCAUGGUUUAUACAUUAAAGAUUUAUCGGUUAAAGAUGGGCAUGCGGCUGAUUAGGUAGUUGGUGAGGUAAUGGCUCACCAAGCCAACGAUCAGUAGGGGGUCUGAGAGGAUGUCCCCCCACACUGGUACUGAGACACGGGCCAGACUCCUACGGGAGGCAGCAGUAGGGAAUAUUGGGCAAUGGUCGCAAGACUGACCCAGCCAUGCCGCGUGCAGGAUGAAGGCCCUCUGGGUUGUAAACUGCUUUUAUCUGGGAAGAAAAAGUCCAUGCGUGGAAAAUUGCCGGUACCAGAUGAAUAAGCACCGGCUAACUCCGUG
rnacentral:rRNA from 1 species